GGGUAUCACCGCUGGGAAAGGUAUCGGGAAAGCCCGGGCGCGCAGCUUUCCCCUCAGCGGGCGAGGAGGAGCCGUCGGACGCGGGCCGGGCCUCACUCGUCCAGGCUCUGAAGGCAUCAAGUGCCCACGCUAAAUGGCAAUCAAUUUAUCGUCCUAAAGACUUGGAAGGAUAGCCACUGCAGUAUAAAACGUUUCUCCUAUUGCUGUUUUUUUUUUUUUUCGUAAGAACGUGCAGGCUUACAGUCGUUAGAUUAAUUGGUCUUCAAACAAGCAUUUCUCUGAAGAGAGCCUUCAGUAAAGCUCUCUCAGCCUUAUUUGGGGCUCCUCUGCAGAGGGAGGCUUAUGCUGCAUAAUCCAAGGCUGCAGCUCAGCUGAAGUCACAUCAACAACAAGGGCAAAGGAAAAGCAGCACUGCUGGGCAGCCUCUCCUAAACACCAAAUAAGAAAAGAACAACAUACAAAGGCUGCAGCUACGGAUGCCCUCCAGGGAAAGGUAUCAACAUCAGCAUUCUUGCCAGCAACAGAACGCAUUGCUAGCCUGCAGCAUGUGAAGCUCCGUUGGAUGAUCCAGUGUAUGUAUUCUAGUUCAAAAAAAGUAUAUGCAUGAUUAAUGUAGUGUCUAGAUUAUCAGUGUAAGGGUUGUUUUCAUCAGAUGUUUGAUGCCAUUUGUUAAUUUUUAGUUGCUUUUGUUACAAAUUCAUUUCUC
rnacentral:lncRNA from 1 species